GGCAAAGCCAGAAACUACCGGUUGUUUGAAGAGGCCGACCAGGUGUUUCUGGACUGCGACGUGACCUUCCCCACCCUUUCAACCCUGAUCGAACACUACUACAGCCAUCCUCUUCCUCAUCAGGGCUCCCUUUGCCUGCAGAAGCCUUACUCCAAAUAAGCAUCACUUGAAGCGAAAGGGAGAACUUGCAACGUUAAAAUGCCGACGAUGGCAAGGAGACAAACCUGCCUUGAAUUCAGAAUCGAAUCGUCACCAUCAAGAGCUAAAUAUCGCUCUCCUCACUUGGGGUCACACAACUGGCUGGUCCUCACUCUAUAUUUAUAUUUACUGUCCAGUACAUGCAAAUGUAAAUAGGAAUGUCAUUUUCUACAAAGUAAGAAAUUGUAAAUAA